AGAGUUUGAUCAUGGCUCAGAACGAACGCUGGCGGCGUGCUUAACACAUGCAAGUCGAACGCGAACGAGUUCUUCGGAACUUCAGUAGAGUGGCGCACGGGUGAGUAACGCGUAAGUAAUCUACCCUCGCAUUUGGGAUAACCCACCGAAAGGUGUGCUAAUACCGGAUACGUCUAUUUUAAUAUCUUUUUUAUAGAGAAAGGUGGCCUCUGAUUCAAGCUACUGUGCGGGGAGGAGCUUGCGUACCAUUAGCUAGUUGGUAGGGUAAUGGCCUACCAAGGCAACGAUGGUUAGCGGGUCUGAGAGGAUGAUCCGCCACACUGGAACUGAAACACGGACCAGACUCCUACGGGAGGCAGCAGUGAGGAAUAUUGCGCAAUGGGGGCAACCCUGACGCAACGACGCCGCGUGGAUGAUGAAGGCCUUCGGGUUGUAAAAUCCUGUCAGAUGGGAAGAAGUGUACUAUGGUUAAGAGCUGUAUUAUUUGACGGUACCAUCAAAGGAAGCACCGGCUAACUCCGUGCCAGCAGCCGCGGUAAUACGGAGGGUGCAAGCGUUGUUCGGAAUUACUGGGCGUAAAGCGCGCGUAGGCGGUUGUAUAAGUCAGAUGUGAAAGUCCAUGGCUCAACCAUGGAAGUGCAUUUGAAACUGUAUAACUUGAGUACUGGAGGGGGUGGUGGAAUUCCCGGUGUAGAGGUGAAAUUCGUAGAUAUCGGGAGGAAUACCGGUGGCGAAGGCGACCACCUGGCCAGAUACUGACGCUGAGGUGCGAAAGCGUGGGGAGCAAACAGGAUUAGAUACCCUGGUAGUCCACGCCGUAAACGAUGUGAACUAGGUGUUGGGAUGGUUAAUCGUCUCAUUGCCGGAGCUAACGCAUUAAGUUCACCGCCUGGGGAGUACGGUCGCAAGAUUAAACUCAAAGGAAUUGACGGGGGCCCCACAAGCGGUGGAGUAUGUGGUUUAAU
rnacentral:rRNA from 1 species